AAGUUAUCUUUCUCUCUUGCAGUAUCAGAAGCUCUCGAGUUCCCUGAAUUCAGUGUGGUAGUAGAGUAUCGAAGGAUUGUUAUUGGGUUUGGAUUUAUGGUCCCAGAUGCAACUCAAUCAGAUGCUUAUAUUUCUUUUAUAUUCACCCUGCCUGGUUGGAGAAGGGCCGGCAUUGCAAGAUUCAUGCUAUAUCACUUGAUUAUGACUUGUAGAGGAAAGGACAUCACACUUCAUGUGUCUGCAUCAAACACCAGUGCUCUGUUACUGUAUCAGCAAUUUGCCUUCAAACCACAAGAGUUCAUACAGAACUUCUAUGAUAAGUUUAUACCACCUACUUCAAGGGAAUGUCGGCACGCAUAUUUUCUGCGACUUAGUAAAUGAGUGGAUUUGUAUUUUGAUUCUCAAAGUGCAGGUGUGUCUCUCAAGGCUGAAUUAUGAAUGAUGCAUGACAAAAAUUUGAAGAAAUUUCUUCGUGGACAGAUGGUCUGAUUAUAGCAUGUAUUGUUGCCACACCAUUGUAUUGAGAAAAGUACCAGAAGAAGAGAGAAGUAUUGAAUGAUUAAAUUUGAAUAAUUUGUACACUCUCACAUGAUGUUUUUCAUAAUUAUACUUUUUAUAGAAAA